GCGUCUGCCGAAAGAAAAGGCGUCAAACGGCAACCGCUCCUUCCAGGUGGACUCGUGACCUCAUUACAAAUGAAGGCCACGCCCACACAGGAAAUGGACAUUCCCACCACCACGGGCGUGUCUCCUCAACAUUUGCAUGAAGCCACGUGAGUAACACGCACGCUCACAUAUUUCCACAUAUUCACUGAGCACCCCAUGUAUCAGUCAAACACCCCUGGAGAGAAAAAAAAACUGGAGCCAUUCUUAGGAAUUGACCUCACGUCACACACACACACACACACACACACACACACACACACACACACACACACGCACACACACUCUCGGGUACACACGCGCAGGCAAGCGAUGCCCCGCCCUACAUGCGGAGCUUGUAAUUAUCUUGAAAAUAGCAUCCCAGUUCAAGAUGAAAACAACACGGCUGACCUUCAAUAUUCAUGGUCGUCAUGACGACGCAAACAUAGGUGACCCCUGCUGAGUUGGCGUUUCCUAAUCAUGUGUGCGCGUGCAUGAGCGAAGCUGUGUUUGCGUGUUCGCGUGCGCGUGUCACCUGGACACUCGGCGUUCUUUCCCGGUCCACAUUCGAGCGUGGCGCUUCCUCCUCCUCCUCCUCCUCGAGCAGUUGCGCUCGUGGCGGAGGUAAGGCGCAGCAGAAGGAGUAGUAGCAGGAAGGACGAUGAUGAUGAAAACGAAGCGGUGGAGGCCACAAGAGCCAUGAUGGAAGAGCACGGGAUGAUGUCAGAAGAGCAGGAAAAUCACACGCUUUUGUCUCCAAAGCCGCACGAGAAGCGCAAAGAUGGCCUUCAGCGCCUCAUAUCGCCGACGAGGAGGAGCAGGAGGAGGAAGGUAGCACAAAGCGGAGCCCGCGGCGAACGGCGGCGACCCCCACGCA